rnacentral:rRNA from 1 species
CCUACUGGAGGCUGCAGUGAUGAAUAUUGGUCAAUGGGCGGAAGCCUGAACCAGCCAAGUCGCGUGAGGGAAUAAGGCCCUACGGGUCGUAAACCUCUUUUGCCGGGGAGCAAGGGCGGGGACGUGUCCCGGCCCGGAGAGUACCCGGAGAAAAAGCAUCGGCUAACUCCGUGCCAGCAGCCGCGGUAAUACGGAGGAUGCGAGCGUUAUCCGGAUUUCUUGGGUUUAAGGGGUGCGUAGGCGGGCUUUUCAGUCAGCGGUAAAAAUUCGGGGCUCAACCCCGUCCGGCCGUUGAAACUGGGGGCCUUGAGUGGGCGAGAAGAAGGCGGAAUGCGCGGUGUAGCGGUGAAAUGCAUAGAUAUCGCGCAGAACUCCGAUUGCGAAGGCAGCAUGCCGGCUCCACACUGACGCUGAGGCACGAAAGCGUGGGUAUCGAACAGGAUUAGAUACCCCAGUAGUC